rnacentral:rRNA from 1 species
AUUGAACGCUGGCGGCAGCACUAACACAUGCAAGUCGCACGAGUGGCGGACGGGUGAGUAAUGUCUGGGAAACUGACUGAGGGAGGGGGAUAACUACUGGAAACGGUAGCUAAUACCGCAUACCAUCAGAUGUGCACAGAUGGGAUGAGCUUGUAGGUGGGGUAACUGCGAACCAAGGCGAAGAGCCCUAGCUGGUCUGAGCGGAUGACCAUCCACCCUGGAACUGAGACACGGUCCAGUAUCGUCAGGGAGGCAGCAGUGGAGAAGAUUGCCCAAGGGGCGCAAGCCUGAUGCAGCCAUGCCGCUUGUACGAAGAGGUCCUUCGUGUUGUAAAGUACUUGCAGCUGGGAGGCGUUACCCGCAGAAUAAGAACCGGCUAACUCGGUGCCAGCCGCCGCGGUAAUUC